rnacentral:rRNA from 1 species
GAUGAACGCUGGCGGCGUGCCUAAUACAUGCAAGUCGAGCGAACAGACGAGGAGCUUGCUCCUCUUACGUUAGCGGCGGACGGGUGAGUAACACGUGGAUAACCUACCUAUAAGACUGGGAUAACUUCGGGAAACCGGAGCUAAUACCGGAUAAUAUAUUGAACCGCAUGGUUCAAUAGUGAAAGACGGUUUUGCUGUCACUUAUAGAUGGAUCCGCGCCGCAUUAGCUAGUUGGUAAGGUAACGGCUUACCAAGGCAACGAUGCGUAGCCGACCUGAGAGGGUGAUCGGCCACACUGGAACUGAGACACGGUCCAGACUCCUACGGGAGGCAGCAGUGGGGAAUCUUCCGCAAUGGGCGCAAGCCUGAUGGAGCCACGCCGCGUGAAUGAUGAAGGUCUUCGGAUCGUAAAACUCUGUUAUUAGGGAAGAACAAAUGUGUAAGUAACUAUGCACGUGUUGACGGUACCUAAUCAGAAAGCCACGGCUAACUACGUG